GACGAACCGUGCGAACGUUAUUCGGAAUCACUGGGCUUAAAGCGCGUGUAGGCGGGCCGGCACGUCGGUCGCUGAAAUCCCCCGGCUCAACCGGGGAAGGGGCGCCGAUACGACCGGCCUGGAGGGGGGUAGGGGGAGCCGGAACUUCCGGUGGAGCGGUGAAAUGCGUUGAGAUCGGAAGGAACGCCCGUGGCGAAAGCGGGCUCCUGGACCCCACCUGACGCUGAGACGCGAAAGCCAGGGGAGCGAACGGG
rnacentral:rRNA from 1 species